rnacentral:rRNA from 1 species
GAUGAACGCUGGCGGCGUGCCUAACACAUGCAAGUCGAGCGUGAACCGUCUGAAUGAAACUUCGGUCGAGUGAGGAUGGGGAAAGCGGCGGACGGGUGAGUAACGCGUAGGCAACCUGCCCCGUACAGAGGGAUAGCCUCGGGAAACCGGGAUUAAGACCUCAUAAUACCAUUAUCUCACAUGUGAUAAUGGUCAAAGAUUUUAUCGGUAUGGGAUGGGCCUGCGUCUGAUUAGCUGGUUGGUGGGGUAACGGCUCACCAAGGCGACGAUCAGUAGCCGACCUGAGAGGGUAAUCGGCCACAUUGGAACUGAGACACGGUCCAAACUCCUACGGGAGGCAGCAGUGGGGAAUAUUGCACAAUGGGCGAAAGCCUGAUGCAGCAACGCCGCGUGAGCGAGGAAGGCCUUUGGGUCGUAAAGCUCUGUCGAGGAGGAAGAUAAUGACGGGUACUCCUCGAGGAAGCCCCGGCUAACUACGUGCCAGCAGCCGCGGU